GGAGGUCUCUUCUCGCACUGCCAGAGCAACCAAGAUUUUAAUUUGACCGUGGUUAAAUGACCCAUUUGGACCAGGCCAGCCAGGCAGGAUGGGAGAGCGCCAUGGGGGUUCUGAAAGUACCCUCAAGAACCCUGGGAAGUGCCCCCCGCCGACAUCUGAGGCCACCUUUGACCUUCCAAAUGAUGAAGACUUAUUGCUGAGCUGCAUCUUGAGAGGCACAGACAGAAGACCAGAGACAUCCGCUCCCCAAGGCAAUUUAAGGCCUCUGGUCCUACCAGGCCAGGCUGAUCAGAGGGCUGAUAUCACUUCCCUUCUCUGCCAAUGAUAUCUGUUAUUUGGAAAAAGAAAAAAAAAAAAAGAAAAAGGAAAAUGAGGCACUGGGCUCCUCUCAUUUUAAGGUCACCUCAAAGUGGCUAAGGAUACUGCGUUGUGAAGUUUUCUCCCCCACUGAACAGGACUGACAUGUAACAAAUAGGAUAUUGUAGAAAUGAGAGUGUGAGUUGCAAGGUUAAGUCCUAACACUGCAGUUUCCAACUUGUCCUCUCUUGGAUCACCCAUUCUGGGGGAAGCCUGUUCCCAUGUCCUAAAGACACUCAAGCAGCCCUAUUGAAGAGAGGUCCAUCUGGUGAAAGAACUAAGGCCACCUGCCAACAACCAGCACCAACUUGCAAGAUGGGCAGGUGAACCACCUUGGAAAGUAAAUCUUCCAGUCCCAAUGAAGCAUUCAGGGAACUGCAGCCUCAGUCAACAUCUUGACUACAACCUUACAUGAGAAAUCCAGAGACAGAAUUAUGCCAGCUAAACCACCACCGAAUUCCUGACCCUCAGAAACUUCCUGAAGUAAUACACAUAUAUUAUUUUAAACCACAAA